AACAUCUAAAAAUGGAGACAAGCAAUCUACUGGAUGCAGCGUUCAAAACACUGGUUAUAAGGAUGCUCAUUGAACUUAGGGGAAGAGUAAAUGAACUCAGAGAACUUCAACAGC